rnacentral:lncRNA from 1 species
GUGCAUGUUUGUGUCAGUUAAAUAAUGUCCCUCCUGUACUACUCCUUCUGCAGUCACAGGAAAAAGUUCUGCAGUUGUCCCACGAGGAAUUACAGUUCAAACACCUAAAAGAAGUAAAUCAAGAACAGGACAGACCCAGUCUGGAAAAACCUGACCCUCCCCCGUUCCCUCGGGGAGGAAGUCACAGCCUGCUUACAUCAGCCAAAUCCUGCCUGUGUGUGUGUGUGGAUCAUACGGAUCAUACCGUGUGGAGUUUUAGUCCGUCGGACACUAAUUCUUUAAAUAUUUUACUUUAUAUUUUUUUAAAGGACCGGCUGUAACAUCGGUAAAGGAACAGAUUCUCCGGCUUUUUCUUCCAGGAUGUUGUUUUAUGGGUCUUUUCGAUUUUGCUGCUGGUUCGGAUUUUUCAGCGAGUUAUGGACGAAGAAGUACAUGAAAUAUAAAGCUGCCAUGUUUUCUGUUUUUCACGACUUUCCCAGUUAGACGGUGGUGUGUGUUUUUACACCGGAUUAUAAACUGGAGAAAGGCUGGGCCGCAGACAGUGCUGCUCUGCACGUGCUACUAAACAAAAAAGGGGGGGGGCGAGUAGACCUGUGAUGUCACAGACACCUCUUCCUUAAUGUGCCGGGAGAAUCCUCACACCUUAGCUGCUGGAAUCCGUAGUGACAGUAACAAGUGCAAUCAGUGUCUCAUGUCUCAUGUCAGCAUGUACCGCUGUUUGAGCUCAAGCGACACCCAAGCAAGGAACACCUCCAUCGUAUAUGAUGAGGCCAAUGACAAUAAGCAUUUGUGGAAAAAGCCCAAUCUGCAGGACCCUCUCCCCCCGUGUUCCUCCACAUCCCCACCUCCUGCCAACCGCUGCAUAGUCUGUAUGAACCAAAUUGUCCAUGCCGUUUGUAAUGAGGUGGUGCAAAAUCUGAAGUUGAUCAUGGAGACUGGAGAGAACAACGUUCCAUUCUCAGACAGCGCGUGCCCUGCUCUCCACUCUCCUAAUACUACUACUAAUGUGAGCCCUGGGCCAGGACUGAGUCCUAGUGUGAUCCCCACUGUGAUUGUCAUCGUACUCGUUGGAGUCCUCGUCAUGAUCCUGAUUGUGUGGUUUUUAAGAAGAACCAGAGGAAGGAAGGAAGGGAGCCGCCAGAGCAGCAGGCAGGAACUAUUUACACAACUACAGUGUAGCAACAUUUAUUUCUGCUUGUGAUAUUUUUGUGUCCAAAAAUGUCGUCCGUCUUACAUUGUUUUCAUCCCGCUCAUGCAUUAUGGGAACUGCAGUUCUAAACAGUAAAACAUGAUCUGUCAGACUUUUAAUUCCUUCAUUGCUUCACAGAUCUGACCAGGGGGUUAAAACACCACGUGAAGACCUGACGCUGGAUGAUCCUCCUGUGAAGCAAUCAAUGCUGGAGAUUCCAUAAUUAACCUUUUCCCCUGGAAGGAUUGGAGGAAUGCUGACAGACAAUAAACUAGAUACGAAUGUUUCCUUUAGACUGAAU